rnacentral:rRNA from 1 species
GAGCAAUCUGUGUGACUGCGUACCUUUUGUAUAAUGGGUCAGCGACUUAUAUUCUGUAGCAAGGUUAACCGAAUAGGGGAGCCGAAGGGAAACCGAGUCUUAACUGGGCGUUAAGUUGCAGGGUAUAGACCCGAAACCCGGUGAUCUAGCCAUGGGCAGGUUGAAGGUUGGGUAACACUAACUGGAGGACCGAACCGACUAAUGUUGAAAAAUUAGCGGAUGACUUGUGGCUGGGGGUGAAAGGCCAAUCAAACCGGGAGAUAGCUGGUUCUCCCCGAAAGCUAUUUAGGUAGCGCCUCGUGAAUUCAUCUCCGGGGGUAGAGCACUGUUUCGGCAAGGGGGUCAUCCCGACUUACCAACCCGAUGCAAACUGCGAAUACCGGAGAAUGUUAUCACGGGAGACACACGGCGGGUGCUAACGUCCGUCGUGAAGAGGGAAACAACCCAGACCGCCAGCUAAGGUCCCAAAGUCAUGGUUAAGUGGGAAACGAUGUGGGAAGGCCCAGACAGCCAGGAUGUUGGCUUAGAAGCAGCCAUCAUUUAAAGAAAGCGUAAUAGCUCACUGGUCGAGUCGGCCUGCGCGGAAGAUGUAACGGGGCUAAACCA